CCUACGGGAGGCAGCAGUGAGGAAUAUUGGUCAAUGGACGAGAGUCUGAACCAGCCAAGUAGCGUGAAGGAUGACUGCCCUAUGGGUUGUAAACUUCUUUUAUAUGGGAAUAAAACGUUCCACGUGUGGGAUUUUGUAUGUCCCAUAUGAAUAAGGAUCGGCUAACUCCGUGCCAGCAGCCGCGGUAAUACGGAGGAUCCGAGCGUUAUCCGGAUUUAUUGGGUUUAAAGGGAGCGUAGGUGGAUUGUUAAGUCAGUUGUGAAAGUUUGCGGCUCAACCGUAAAAUUGCAGUUGAAACUGGCAGUCUUGAGUACAGUGGAGGUGGGCGGAAUUCGUGGUGUAGCGGUGAAAUGCUUAGAUAUCACGAAGAACUCCGAUUGCGAAGGCAGUUCACUGGACUGCAACUGACACUGAGGCUCGAAAGUGUGGGUAUCAAACAGGAUUAGAUACCCUGGUAGUC
rnacentral:rRNA from 1 species